rnacentral:rRNA from 1 species
GGGAGGGGAUGGGGGGGGGGGAGCGGAGAAAAAACAAAAGAAAUAAGAGAUAGCAGGAGCUGACCGAAAUAGCUUACGGGCUGUAUCGUAUAAGCAUA